GUAAUUUGAUAGUAUACGAUCGCGUGUAAACAGACUUUGGCCUAGCCUUGGCCAGGAAAUCUGGGCCCACUACAACCGGUGGCCUAGGCCUAGGCUUGUAGAAAUGUAAACACUUUCGGUCCUGGCCUGGGCCUUAUUUUCAUGGCAACGUGUGUCCACAGACCACAGGGAGAGAUUUUAGAUUGACGUUUACGGAAAACGUCAAAC